rnacentral:sRNA from 1 species
UUUCUCCCCCGCCUCUUCAGAGGAGGGGGUCGGGGGGUGGUGCGAGGACUGGCGCAAGGUUUCCACCACCCCCAACCCCCUCCUCUGAAGAGGAUGGGGCUUUUU